UGAUAAUUAGUUUAAAUUAAAACAAAUGAUUUCGACUCAUUAAAUUAUGCUCAUACAUAAUUAUCAA